GACAGAGGGUGCAAACGUUGUUCGGAAUUACUGGGCGUAAAGCGCGUGUAGGCGGCUUGGUAAGUCGGGUGUGAAAGCCCUGGGCUCAACCUAGGAAGUGCACUCGAAACUGCCGAGCUUGAGUUCUGGAGAGGAAGGCGGAAUUCUCGGUGUAGAGGUGAAAUUCGUAGAUAUCGAGAGGAACACCGGUGGCGAAGGCGGCCUUCUGGACAGCAACUGACGCUGAGACGCGAAAGCGUGGGGAGCAAACAGG
rnacentral:rRNA from 1 species